rnacentral:lncRNA from 11 species
CGCUUGAAGAGUUUGGGUGCGCCUUGAGAGGCCAAUGGAUGUGCUCGGCGCUCGGAACGCGCCUGCCAUUCAGGAGCCUCCUCAUCCGGACUCCAUCGACUCGCUCGGCGCUCCUCCUCGAGUCCCUGGGCGCCUGGUUGAGGCGCUGGGCGCCCCUCCCCCCUCCCUGCCCGCCUGCCCCCUUUGACGGAAGGAUGCCCCGGGCGCGCGCUGUGUCCACUCGAGCCUCUCGGCGCUCGCCUCCCCGCGCCUGUCUCCUGGCAGAGGGACCGGAAGUGGCUCGGGGAGGGAAGGGGAGGGGGGCUCGCUCCCUCCUCCUCAGGUGAAGACGCUGUGGAUGGAGCCGCCGCCGAAGACGCCGCCGCUUCGGAGCCAUUGAGCCCCCUCCAGAGGCUGGGCCGGGCGGGGGGGCCCUCCCUCCCCAACGCGGCCUGGAGCCCCUUCGGCUCAGGUGAGGGCCGCCCCACGGGGGCUCGGAGGGGACAACAAGCGCUCGCCGGGCGCGCGGAGGGACCAAAAGGCACCAGGUUUUCCUUGCUGGUUCUGGAGCACUUCCGGAGAAGCUGUUUUGGAUUAGUUCUCCAUUGUAAAAUGCAGGGUGUCCUAAAGAUGGAUAUAGAGGACUGCAAUGGACGCUCUUACAUAUCUGGUAGUGGAGAUUCCUCUUUGGAAAAGGAGUUCACCUCCACCAUUGUGGGGCCAACAGUGAGCACACCAAACAGCCAACACUCCUCCCCAAGCCGCUCCCUUAGUGGUGAGUAUUUAAUCUUGGGAUUCCAAUAAUUCACCCUGAAAAUGCAUUAUACUACGUUUUGACUGGGC